UUUGCAUUCUCACCAGUGGUGUAUGAGGGUUCCUUUUUCUCCAUAUCCUCUCCAACAUUUGUCGUUUUUUGUCUUGGUAAUUAUAGCCAUUCUCACAGAUGUAAGGUGAUAUGUGAUUGUAGUUUUGAUUUGCAUUUCCCUAAUAAUUAGUAUGGUUGAACAUCUUUUCAUGUGCCGGUUGGCUAUCCGUAUAUCUUAUUUGGAAAAAUGUCUAUUCAUAUCCUCUGCCUAGUUUUUGACUGGGUUGUUUGUUUUGUUGUUGUUGAGUUGUAUGAGUUCUUUAUGCAUUUUGGAAAUUAACCCCUUGUUGGAUGUGUGAUUUGCAAACAUUUUCUCCCAGUUGGUGGGCUGUCUUUUCAUUUUGUUCAUGGUUUCCUUUGCCUUGCAGAAGCUCUUUAGUCUGAGAUAGUCCCAUUUCUUUAUUUUUCUUUUGUUUCCCUUGCCUGAGUAGACAUGGUAUUCAAAAAGAUGCUGCUAAGACUGAUGUCAAAGAAUGUACUACCUAUAUUUUCUUCUGGGAGUUUUAUGGUUUCAGGUCUUAGAAGAAAUAGAGAAUCCGAAUAGACCAAUCACAAGUCAAGAGACUGAAACAGUAACCAAAAACCUCCCCCAAAACAAAAGUCUAGGACCAGAUGGCUUCUCUGGAGAAUUCUCUGGAACAUUCAAAGAAGAUUUAAUACCUAUCCUUCUCUAACUAUUCCAAAAAAUUGAAGGAGAUGGAACUCCUUCUAACUUAUCCUAUAAGGCCAACAUCACCCUGAUAUCAAAAUCAGACAAGAACACAAAGAAGGAAAAUUACAGGCCAAUAUCACUGAUGAACAUAGAUGAAAAAAUCCUCAACAAAAUAUUGGCAAACCGAAUACAGCAAUACAUUAAAAGGAUCAUACACCAUGAUAAGCCCUUAGAAGGCAGUGCAUUAGCUUACAAGGGUCAAAGUACCAUCUGUAAUGCCAUCCUGUAAUAACAACCUCUGUCAUGCCAAGGAAGCUGGCUUUCUUCUGAGGGCUGUUUGCACAACUGGGUUAUGCCCAGUCACAUCAUUGGAUGACAGCGAGGAGUCAAGCCUGAGGAUGAAGCUAACACAGAAAGGAAGGCAGAGCAGAGACAAGUACCAAGACUAUGCUGGAGUCUUGAUCAAACAACAUAUGAAUUUCACUCUAUUUCUGGACUUUUCAAUGACACCUGCAAUAUUAUAUCCACUUUCAUGGCUGCAACCACCACAUCCAUGGGACGACUCCAAAGCAUCCAUCUCAGUCCUUGACAGACAGUUGCAGAUCUCCAGCUGACUGUCAAACACUCUUAACUGCAGAACUGCUGCCAUAAUGUGUUUAAGCUCUAACUGAGGAUCUGUAACUGACUAGCCAUGUGAACUCGGAACUGUCACGUAUCUUUCAGAACUUCAGCGUUUCAUUCGACAACAAGAAUGGUUUGAAGUUGAAUAUCUACCGUACAAGACUUUAAGGCCUAGGAGGAGCCUUGUCUAUCCAAUUAUUGACGGGACCUCUUUAGCCUAAGGUUCCUGUAGUUGUAAUGUGUGCC
rnacentral:lncRNA from 1 species